rnacentral:sRNA from 1 species
GCGGAGGAAAAGAAACCAACAGGGAUUGCCCUAGUAACGGCGAGUGAAGCGGCAACAGCUCAAAUUUGAAAUCUGGCCCUAGCGGUCCGAGUUGUAAUUUGUAGAGGAUGCUUUUGGUUAGGUGCCUUCUGAGUUCCCUGGAACGGGACGCCAGAGAGGGUGAGAGCCCCGUACGGUUGGACACCGAGCCUCUAUAUAGCUCCUUCGACGAGUCGAGUAGUUUGGGAAUGCUGCUCUAAAUGGGAGGUAAAUUUCUUCUAAAGCUAAAUACCGGCCAGAGACCGAUAGCGCACAAGUAGAGUGAUCGAAAGAUGAAAAGUACUUUGAAAAGAGGGUUAAAUAGCACGUGAAAUUGUUGAAAGGGAAGCGUUUGCGACCAGACUUUUUCCAGGCGGAUCAUCCGGUGUUCUCACCGGUGCACUUCGCCUGGUUUAGGCCAGCAUCGGUUCUCUUAGGGGGAUAAAGGCCUGGGGAACGUAGCUCCUUCGGGAGUGUUAUAGCCCCUAGCGUAAUACCCUUCGG